ACACACACACACACACACACACACACACACACACACACACAGUCCCAGCCCUUAGAAGAGCCCAUCCUCCUUCUAAGCAGCCGUGUUGCCUAGGUGAGGCAGGUAAAGACCCAGCCCCAUUGCCCUCUCUAUUUGGGAUGUGCAAAUAGCUCUUGUUUGUUCUCCCACGCUGCCUUCUGCAGCUCCGGCUUUUAUCCUUGAAGUGCCGCUGAUAAGAGAGUCUGGAAAAUGCUAAUACCGGAGGACCGUCCCUGCAGAGUUAUAAUGAAGAGCUUUACAUAAAUUGUGAUAUUUCACUCCUGUCCCGGGUCUGUGAGGGCUUUAUUAACUGCAGCCCUGUCUCCUCGGCAGUGCCUGCCGAUCCACACUGCUGACUUCAACGCAUCCAAUUCAUCAGGCAUUUAUCACGUGCCUACUUGGUGUCCGGCACCGUUCCAGGCAGCGGGAGGCUUCAUUCUGUCAAUGAAUAUUUACUGAGCUUCCACUCGGUGCCAAGGAGACUGGCAGGAGAGAGACCUCUACAUGUCAUCUGUACAUGAACAGACGGAACAUUUUACUGUCAGUUCUACCCCAUUGUCUCCCAAUCUAACCUCGAUGGCACCUCCAGACAGGAGGAAUGAGUUGGUCAGUGAACUUUUGGAUGUUACAGCAACAUAGAAGACUAGAGGAAGGAAGAUUCCAGAAGGAGGGAAGGCACCUAUCUAAGCAACAGGAUCGCAAGAAGAGCUCAUGUGAGGCCCCUGUGAUGAACAGAAACCCACCCUGCCCCUCUAACUCCCAUGAGACAGUCAAGAUGGGGGCUGGGAAAAGGCUGUGGGGUUUUUAAUGAAGCUGUGACAGGAGGGACCAUUCUGAAAGGACCGUGAUCUCAGAAGAAGGGGAGAAGCACAGGCAGGCUGAGGCAGGUCCCCAGACUAUAACUCUGCCACCAUUGGUCUUUGACCACCAGCCUCGGGAAAGUGGGAACCACCUUGUCAUUGAUGAAGCCCCAUCUGUGGCACUGUGCACAUCAGCUGGGCACAUGCGUGCAGCCCGCAGCCCUCACUCCCCUCUGUCCCACUGUGAGACCCCAGCAUGCCGGAGUGCACAGAAGGCUCAAACGCUCAUGGCCCAGCUGGCCUGUCUUUGGAGCUCAUCUUGAGGCCUCGGCAGAUGACAGGCCAAUUCCCAGGGGUUUCCACAGAUUAGCCAUUCAUUAGUCCCACGCCUUUGAGUCUUUCAGCACUGUAGAGCCCCCAAGAUAAUCUCUGAAACCAUCAGAUGAGGCCCACAGCAGGGACUGUUUGCCAUAAAGACCCCACUGUCACGGUCCAGCUUAGUGUCCCCAACAACUAGCCUCCUCCCCACCAGAUCCACAGAGGUGACUACAGGGACUGCUUCCGCUCAUUAAAAUAUUUUUUCCUCCAAA